UGUUACUCGGUUCUCUCCCAUCACCCACACUUCAGGUAAUGCCUACAAGUGAUACAACAUCCAAGAGUACAAAUGGGACUUCUCCAUAUGAUGUCCACGUGGUUGUAACCCUGCAAGGCCUGUGCUCCAGUCCCCAACUAACAAGGGUGACACUUGGAUUACAGUGGAAAAACCCUGUCUUCUACCUAUGACAGUGAUGGCGA